AUGCAAAGCCAUAACCAUCUUAACGUUGAUAUUUAUCGUGUUUAUCCCUGCCUCUCCGGAUUACUGAGUUCAGGGAGACCGGGUAGGAGGGCGGCGAAGGCUGGGAGGAGGGGAGGGAGUGGAAGGGUGGAGUGGGGCGGGGAAAGGGGGAGCGGUGAAGACCUCACGGAUUGGACCCCAGGAGGAAACCUGGAGAAGGCAGCGAUUUCAGGGAAGAAAGGAAAAUGCGAAGUGACGCAAAGAGGAGGAAAAGGGCUGCAGGCAACCGUGCGGGCAGCGCUGGACUGGGAGCCCCAGAAUUGGUAGUGCACUUCUUGGAGGAGAAAGAAGAGCAGGAAACCUCUUUGCUUCUUUUGGAGACGAGGGUGGGAAGAGACAUCCUUGAAGCAGCUCAGCCCAGGCCAUGUGGUUGGAAAUUCAGCUUGGACCCAAGGAGGUAAAAGAUUUUGUGAAUGGGAAGCAAAUACCCCUUGAGUGAGAAAGGUUGCAAACCCGUGGUUUGCAGAUGUGUUCUGUUUACCUCUCACAAUGUUUAAAAUCUUAAAAUUCGUCUCCAAGAUUUAAAAAACACAGAUAAAAAUACAGAAUUGUAACUUCUCUUGAAAAUGACAAAUAUGGCUCAUUUUUUGCCUGGCUACAUGCUGCUAUAGCUGACUAGCUGCUGCCCCCUUUAGACAGGGUGUACACGCUAUAUGCUGGGCUCAAUGCAGUCAUUUAUAUUGGCUGCCUAACCACUGGUGGAAUGAAUGUUUGGAAUAUAUCAAAGUGUGAAGGUCUUCACAGAGUAGUUUGACUUAGCAAGCGAUGAUCUCAGGGUUUGGGGGAGGGGGUUUGUUUUGUUUUGUUUUUGUCUUUUUAGGGCUGCAUCUGAAAUAUAUGCAAGUUUCCAGGCUAGGGGUCAAACCGGAGCUGUGGCUGCCUGCCUACACCACAGCCACAGCAAUGCAGGAUCCAAGCCCCAUCUGUGACCUACACCACAGCUCAUGGCAAAGCCAGAUCCUUAACCUACUGAUCGAGGCCAGGGAUUGAACCCUCUUCCUCAUGGAUACUAGCUGGUUCAUUACUGCUGAGCCCCAAUGGGAAAUCCAUCAUUUUAUCCUAAGUAAAUACAAUGAGCUCAGAAAUGGCAAGUUAGCAGAAUUAUAUAUGACAACUGUACGUGUCCCAUAUCGCAAUUAUCUGUCCCUUGGCACAGGGAAAGGUUGGAUUGUGUCAGGUUAACAUUUUAUUUUAUUUUUAUUUUUGGGCUGCCUUGUGGCAUAUGGAGUUCCUGGGCUAGGGAUCAGAUUCAAGCCACACAGUUGUGAACUACACUACAGCUGUAGCAACGCUGGAUCCUUAACCCAUUGUGCUGGGCUGGGGAUUGAUCCUGUGCCCCAGUGCUCCAGAGAUAGCACCCAAUCCUGAUGCACCACGGCAUGAACUCCUAUUUAAAAUUUUAAUUAAAAAUGGAAAUAAUUUUUUUGUGCUAUGCUUUCUCCUUACAAAUGAAUCUCCCUGAAAUUCUUAGCUAGUAGAACCUAGGAAUUAUAGUCAAUUGUGAAGGACUGUCCAAGAAGGGAUCCCCCAAAGUGUUACAGAAUCACGAUAAUGAUCAUGACAACAAUGUCUUGACAUUUAUUGAGCAAUGACCUGAAUUGUCACACUAUUAUAUUUCAGUUUCCUAGUUGCUAUCUCAGCUUUCUUUUCUUCUUCUUCUUUUCUUAAUUUUUUUUCUUUUUAAGGCUGGAUCUGUGGCAUAUGAAGGUUCUUAGGCUAGGGGUUGAAUUGGAGCUGCAGCUGAUGGCCACAGCCACAGCCACAGCAACUGGGGAUCCGAGCCACGUCUUCGACCUACACCACAGCUCACGGUAAUGCCAGAUCCUUAACCCACUGAGCAAGGCCAGGGAUCAAAACUGCAUCCUCAUGGAUAUUAGUUGGUCAACAACCAAAAACCAACAACUCAACUGAAAAUUGGGCAGAAGACCUGAACAGACAUUUCUCCAAAGAAGAUAUACACAGAUGGCCAACAGGCACAUGAAAAAAAUGCUCAACAUCACUAAUUAUUAAAGAAAUGCAAAUCAAAACUACAAGGUGGAGUUCCCGUUGUGGCUCAGUGGUUAACGAAUCUGACUCGGAACCAUGAGGUUGCUGGUUCAAUCCCUGGCCUUGCUCAGUGGGUUAAGGAUCCGGUGUUGCCGUGAGCUGUGGUGUAGGUUGCAGACGUAGCUCGGAUCCCGCGUUGCUGUGGCUCUGGCGUAGGCUGGUGGCUUCAGCUCCAAUUGGACCCCUAGCCUGGGAACCUCCCUAUGCUAUGGGAGCGGCCCUAGAAAAGGCAAAAAGACAAAAACAACAACAACAACACAACCUACAAUGAGGUACCACUUCACACUGGUCAUGAUGUCCAUCAUUGACAAGUCAAUAACUAACAAAUGCUGGUGCAGUUCCCCCAGUGGCUCAGCGGAAUCUGACUAGUAUCCUGGCCCCUCUCAGUGGGUUAAGGAUCUCGUGUUGCUGUGAGCUGUGGUUUAGGCCAGCAGCCACAGCUCUAACUCGAUCCUUAGCCUGGGAACCUCCAUAUGCCACGGGUGUGACACUAAAAAGCUAAAAAACAAAAACAAUGAGAAAACAAAUGCUGGAGAGGGUGUGGAGAAAAAGGUACACUAUUGGGGGGAAUGUAAAUUGGUAAAAUCACUAUAGAAAACAGCACAGAGAUGCCUCAGAAAACUAAAUAUAGACCAUAUGACCCUGCAAUCCCACUCUUGGGCGUAUAUCCAGACAAAACUUUCACUGAAAAAGAUACAUGCACCCCUAUGUUCACUGCAGCCCUAUUCACAAUAGCCAAGACAUGGAAUCAUCCUAAAUGUCCAUUGACAGAUGAAUGGAUUAAGAAGAUGUGGUACAUAUACACAAUGGAAUACUACUCAGCCACAAAAAGGAACAAAAUAAUGCCAUUUGCAGCUAUAUGGAUGGAACUAGAGACUCUCAUACUAAGAGAAUAAGUCAGAAAGACAAAGGCAAAUAACCAUAUGAUAUCACUUAUAUCUGGAAUCUAAUAUGUGGCACAAAUGAAUCUUUCCACAGAAAAGAAACAAACUCAUGGACUUGGAGAACAGACUUGUGAUUUCCAAGGGGGAGGGGGAGGGAGUGGGAUGGACUGGGAGUCUGGGGUUGGUAGAUGCAAACCCUUGCAUUGGGAGUGGGUAAGCAAUGAGAUCCUGCUGUCUAGCACAGGGAACCAUAUCUAGUCACUUGCGACGGAGCACGAUGGAGGAUAAUGUGAGGAAAAGAAUGCGUGUGUAUAUGUAUGAAUAUAUAUAUAUGUAUAUAUAUGAAUGAAUGGGUCCUUUUGCUGUCCAGCAGAAAUUGACACAACAAUGUUAAUCAAGUAUAACAGAAAAAAAAUCUAAAAAACAAAACAAAACAACUCUUGCCUUUGGAAUGGGUUAGCAAUGAGGUCCUGCUGUGUGGGAAUGGGAAUGAUGUCUCGUCACUUACGAUGGAGCCUGAUCAUGGGAGCAAAAAGAAUGUGCACAUGUAUGUGUAACUGGGUCACCCUGCUGUAUGGUGGGAAAAAAAAUUGUGUUGGGGAAAUAACAAUUAAAAACAUUUUUUUAAUAAAUAAAUAAUAAAAAAAUAGAUACUAGUCGGG
rnacentral:lncRNA from 1 species